rnacentral:rRNA from 1 species
UGCGCGAGUCGCAGGGUUGUACGAAACCCGAGGGCGUAACGAAAGUGAACGUGAUCUUCGGAUCAAUCAGGUGGGAUCCCGAGGCCUACGGUCGAGGGCGCACCACCGGCCUGUCUCAGCCGCUACGCCGGCGAGGCGGAGCAAGAGCGUACGCGUUGGGACCCGAAAGAUGGUGAACUAUGCCUGAGCAGGAUGAAGCCAGAAGAAAUUCUG